UUAACUGAAUCCAUAGGUUAAUGAGGCGAACCGGGGGAACUGAAACAUCUAAGUACCCCGAGGAAAAGAAAUCAACCGAGAUUCCCCCAGUAGCGGCGAGCGAACGGGGAGGAGCCCAGAGCCUGAAUCAGUGUGUGUGUUAGUGGAAGCGUCUGGAAAGGCGCGCGAUACAGGGUGACAGCCCCGUACACAAAAAUGCACAUGCUGUGAGCUCGAUGAGUAGGGCGGGACACGUGGUAUCCUGUCUGAAUAUGGGGGGACCAUCCUCCAAGGCUAAAUACUCCUGACUGACCGAUAGUGAACCAGUACCGUGAG
rnacentral:rRNA from 1 species